AGUGAACGCUGGCGGUAGGCCUAACACAUGCAAGUCGUACGGCAGCACAGUAAGAGCUUGCUCUUACGGGUGGCGAGUGGCGGACGGGUGAGGAAUACAUCGGAAUCUACUUUUUCGUGGGGGAUAACGUAGGGAAACUUACGCUAAUACCGCAUACGACCUACGGGUGAAAGCAGGGGAUCUUCGGACCUUGCGCGAUUGAAUGAGCCGAUGUCGGAUUAGCUAGUUGGCGGGGUAAAGGCCCACCAAGGCGACGAUCCGUAGCUGGUCUGAGAGGAUGAUCAGCCACACUGGAACUGAGACACGGUCCAGACUCCUACGGGAGGCAGCAGUGGGGAAUAUUGGACAAUGGGCGCAAGCCUGAUCCAGCCAUACCGCGUGGGUGAAGAAGGCCUUCGGGUUGUAAAGCCCUUUUGUUGGGAAAGAAAAGCAGCAGGUUAAUACCCCGCUGUCCUGACGGUACCCAAAGAAUAAGCACCGGCUAACUUCGUG
rnacentral:rRNA from 1 species